rnacentral:lncRNA from 1 species
GAGUAACACAGCUGGCGAGUGGACCGCAGUCUGCGUCCGUACUCACAUCCUUGAUUUCAGGCUACAAAAGGGGUACCUUCGUAGCCUAAUUAGCACGAAUGUGAUAGGUUUUUCUUUUGAACUCUGAUGUGUACUUUUGGGCAGAACUAGUUUUGGAGGAUAUGAAGGACUCUAGUAUAAAAGGUUAUAUCUUGAUAAAGUUGAAUAGACAGAGAAGAAGGAAGAGAAAAAUGAGCAGAAGGAGGAAGGGGAACCCGUGGAGCUCAACUACAAUUUGCUUGGCCUUCCUAAUGAAAGGGAACAGAGGAACACAGCUCUGGAAGACUCUGAAUGCCCAGUAUUGGAUGUCAGCUCUACAAAAUAGGGGUUCCAGUUUCUCUGCUUCUUUGCCAAUACUUAUCAUCUGACAAGACGACAUUUUAUUAUAGUCAUUCUAUUGGAUUAGCCCUGAGCAAAAACUGCUGCCAAUCCUCCUCUUUUUGCUGAGGAAGACUGACCCUGAGCCCAUCCUUGCCCAUCUUCCUCUACUUUAUAUGUGGGGCGCCUACUUCAGCAUGGCUUUCCAAGCGGUGCCAUGUUCACACCCGGGAUCCAAACCGGAGAACCCCCAGCCAUCAAAGUGGAACAUGCGCACUUAACCACUGCACCACUGGGCCAGCCCCAUGUGUGUCUUCUUUGGCAAAAUGUUCAUUCAACUUUUUGCCCAUCUUUAAAUCCAU